CUACUACUCUCUCCGUCUGAAAAUACUUGUCAUUGAAAUGGAUAUAUCUAGAUGUAUUUUAGUUCUAGACACAUCCAUUUUGAUGACAUGUAAUUCCGGAUGGAGGGAGUAUUAU
rnacentral:pre_miRNA from 1 species